GACUUGGUUUCACAUUCUGUGUCUACAAGUGCAGGAGCCACUUAGCGGUAUUUGCUGAGCUCUGAGUACUCAAAAGGUGAAGACAUCAACACAACCAGGAAGGUCGCAAGCUGGUUGAGUGGGAAUACAACCACGACCCAUCACAAAAUACAAAUAUACUGAGAUAUAUAUCUACAGGAAGGCAAAUUUAAUGCUGCCUGGAGGUAUGAGAAGAUCUGCUUCAGUGGGGACACUGCAGCC
rnacentral:lncRNA from 1 species